rnacentral:rRNA from 1 species
UACGUAGGUGGCGAGCGUUGUCCGGAUUUACUGGGCGUAAAGGGAGCGUAGGCGGACUUUUAAGUGAGAUGUGAAAUACCCGGGCUCAACUUGGGUGCUGCAUUUCAAACUGGAAGUCUAGAGUGCAGGAGAGGAGAAUGGAAUUCCUAGUGUAGCGGUGAAAUGCCUAGAGAUUAGGAAGAACACCAGUGGCGAAGGCGAUUCUCUGGACUGUAACUGACGCUGAGGCUCGAAAGCGUGGGGAGCAAACAGGAUUAGAUACCCCUGUA